rnacentral:tRNA from 1 species
GGGGUUGUGGCUCAGUGGUAGAGUGCUUGCCUAGCACACAUGAGGCACUGGGUUUGAUCCUCAGCACCA